rnacentral:tRNA from 1 species
GGGGUGUUAGCUCAGUUGGCCAGAGCGCUUCGUUGACAUCGAAGAGGUCAGAGGUUCAAGUCCUCUACAUCCCA